UACGUAGGGGGCAAGCGUUGUCCGGAAUUAUUGGGCGUAAAGAGCGCGUAGGCGGUCCGAUAAGUCGGCUGUGAAAGUCCAGGGCUCAACCCUGGAAAGCCGGCCGAUACUGUCGGACUAGAGUCCGGAAGAGGCGAGUGGAAUUCCCGGUGUAGCGGUGAAAUGCGCAGAUAUCGGGAGGAACACCAGUGGCGAAGCGGCGAUCUGGGAAGAUACUGACGCUGAGGUGCGAAAGCGUGGGGAGCAAACAGG
rnacentral:rRNA from 1 species